AACGUAGGACGCAAGCGUUAUCCGGAGUUACUGGGCGUAAAGAGUGCGUAGGCGGUUUUCUAAGUUUGGUGUGAAAUCUCCCGGCUUAACUGGGAGGGUGCGCCGAAGACUGGAAGGCUUGAGUAUGGGAGAGGUAAGCGGAAUUCCUGGUGUAGCGGUGAAAUGCGUAGAUAUCAGGAGGAACACCUGCGGUGUAGACGGCUUACUGGACCAUCACUGACGCUGAGGCACGAAAGCGUGGGUAGCAAACAGG
rnacentral:rRNA from 1 species